rnacentral:rRNA from 1 species
GACGAACGCUGGCGGCGUGCUUAACACAUGCAAGUCGAACGGAAAGGCCCUGCUUUUGUGGGGUGCUCGAGUGGCGAACGGGUGAGUAACACGUGAGUAACCUGCCCUUGACUUUGGGAUAACUUCAGGAAACUGGGGCUAAUACCGGAUAGGAGCUCCUGCUGCAUGGUGGGGGUUGGAAAGUUUCGGCGGUUGGGGAUGGACUCGCGGCUUAUCAGCUUGUUGGUGGGGUAGUGGCAUACCAAGGCUUUGACGGGUAGCCGGCCUGAGAGGGUGACCGGCCACAUUGGGACUGAGAUACGGCCCGGACUCCUACGGGAGGCAGCAGUGGGGAAUAGUGCACAAUGGGCGGAAGCCUGAUGCAGCAACGCCGCGUGCGGGAUGACGGCCUUCGGGUUGUAAACCGCUUUCGCCUGUGACGAAGCGUGAGUGACGGUAAUGGGUAAAGAAGCACCGGCUAACUACGCG